UAAAAGUACUUUGGGUGUAUUCAUUAUACUCAGGCUACAAAAUUUUGCUAGGUGGGUAAAGGACGUUUGAAUAGGAAGAAUCAUCAUGAAAGACAGCAAAUAGGACUUUCCACCAAGCCUCUGGAAUCAUAUACUGG